rnacentral:rRNA from 1 species
AUUGAACGCUGGCGGCAGGCUUAACACAUGCAAGUCGAACGAGUGGCGGACGGGUGAGUAAUGUCUGGGAAUCUGCCUUAUGGAGGGGGAUAACUACGGGAAACUGUAGCUAAUACCGCGUACCAUCGGAUGUGCCCAGAUGGGAUUAGCUAGUUGGUGGGGUAACGGCCCACCAAGCCGACGAUCCCUAGCUGGUCUGAGAGGAUGACCAGCCACACCGGAACUGAGACACGGCCCAGACUCCUACGGGAGGCAGCAGUGGGGAAUAGUGCGCAAUGGGCGCAAGCCUGAUGCAGCCAUGCCGCGUGAAUGAAGAAGGCCUUCGGGUUGUAAAGUACUUUCAGCGAGGAGGCGUUAAUCGCAGAAGAAGCACCGGCUAACUCCGUGCCAGCAGCCGCGGUAAUUC